GGGUGGCGGCGGCGGCGGCGGACGGGAGGCAGCCCUCCUUUCGCUCUCCCAAGCCCCGCUUUGCUUUGGCGGGUCGGUGGAUCUCUGAGCGAGGGAGGGACGCAGGCGGGGAGGAGGGAGGUGGAUGCCCCCUCUUCAGUGCCUUUGCACCAACAGCAGCAGUAAAACUUCUGAAGGUUUGGAGAAGAUUGUAAAGCAACGACCAAGAAAGACUGUAGCAGUAUUAUAAUUUCAUCUUAUAGGACGUGCCAAGUCUCAAUAUGUAUCAUUCCAUUUCUGGAGCUAGCCAUCCUCUGCAAACUGAAGAGCAGGAAAUAGGCAUUGAUCCCCUUCAGAGUUACGGGAACAAGCCUGAUGAAGAUGUGUCAAAUGAAAAUGGAAGAGUACAGCUUACUUUGGAUUCUGAUGGGAUCUUUUUGUCUUAUAGG